UACGUAGGGGGCUAGCGUUGUCCGGAAUCAUUGGGCGUAAAGAGCGUGUAGGCGGCCCGGUAAGUCCGCUGUGAAAGUCGGGGGCUCAACCCUCGAAUGCCGGUGGAUACUGUCGGGCUAGAGUGCGGAAGAGGAGAGUGGAAUUCCUGGUGUAGCGGUGAAAUGCGCAGAUACUCAGGAAGAACACCAAUGGCGAAAGCGACUUCCUGGACCAGUACCGACGUUCAGGCACGAAAAGCCGUGGGGAGCAAACAGG
rnacentral:rRNA from 1 species